rnacentral:lncRNA from 1 species
GUUAGGGACUUUGAUGAGGAAUAAUUUGGUUGUAAUGCGUAUUCCAUUCAAUCCAAUGAAUCUAGGGAAAUCGGAAAGUUAAUUUAAGCGGACCUUAUUAACUUGGAGCAUUGUCAUUCAUCGUUUGUUGAAGUCAUAACUGGGAAUCAAAUUUUAUGCAUAUGUUCAUGUGUGGAUAAGGAUCCUCUAACUAGCUUUUCACCCUUGAAUUCAUCUCAAUUUCGUUUUAGUUUGCUUGAUUUGCAAUUUGUUUAGUUUUAAUUCAAUUUCGUCAACAAAUCAAACACCCUUUUCUGUUUUAUGUUAUUAGGUCAGAAUCUGUCCUAAUUAGGUUCUUUAGAGUGUUUUGAGUCAAAAUAGGUUAGGUUUAGUCCAUAAACAUUGUUUGAGUCUUAGUUUAGUCUUAAAUUCGUCUAAUUUCAUCUCUACAAUCUGUUUUGAGUCUAAUUGUUAGUAGUGUGCUGUUUUGAGUCUUUUAAGUGUUUUCUGAGUUAGUUAA